CUCUCUCUUCCCUUGCUGUGUUAUCUGAUGGCACUACUUUAACAGCCUGCACACAUGAUGUUAGAUAGUGUUAGUGGCUAAAGAUUAUAUUGCCAUCUCAUGUGCUAAAUGAUAGUUGAAAUUCAGUAUAUUUACUCAUAUUGUUAACUUUUUUAUCUGUCUUCCUGUAGACAAUGUCAACAAUAGACUUAUGUGGCUGUCUGUAGGUGACAAAAAAAAAUGUGGGUGUCACUUUGUAUGUAAUAAAUACCACUUGUGUUAUUUGUUACAAUACAGAUGUUUAGUCUAGCUAUUUUCAACAGCUUAGUAUAUCAAUGACUUGGAUGACAAUUAUUUUCUAGUUCCCAAAUUAUUAAUUAACUUAAUAAACGAAUGGUAGUCAGAUAGGAUAUAAAAAAUUUAGCCUGCUGAUGUGAUUUCAUAGUUGUUUUAUUUUAAAAAGGUUUUUUUUUUAAGGCCCUGUCACACUGUCAAAUAUAUUGUAUCCAAUAAAUUGGACAACAAAAUUUGAAGGGUGAUUUUGGAUGAAAUACGUCUUCAAAUAUAUUGUAUUCAAUAUUAUUUGACGAGCAAUGUAAAAUAUAUUUGAAGUCAUUUCACACUAUCAAUUUUCUUUGAGUGAGCUCGUUUUACCAAACAUUCUGUAGAGAACUGUAAAUGACAGUACUAUUUAGAAUCAAAAACAAAUUUUGGGUCAAGGAACGCAGGAUUUUUUAAGUAGGUUAUAUUCCAAUUUAGGUAUAUUGUGAUCAUACACAGUUUAAAAUUUAUGUUUUCCAGGUGUUUGCAAUGCCUGCAUUAAGAGCAUCAAAGUGUUUCAAAAGCUGUAGCUGUAAUUGCAAUUGUAGCAAGUCUCAGUAAACUAGAAGAGAAAUCUAAGAAAAGGAAACGCAGAUGGUGGACGAGACAGUGGAUACUUUCCCGGCAAACAAAUUGUGUUUUACCCCUUUUUGUCAUGAACUUCGAUAAGAAGAUGCCGAUUCAUUUCCGAACUAUGUAAUAAUGGAUUCUGAAAGUUUUGAUCUUCUUCUUUCAAUUGUGGAGUCUCGCAUUGCAAAGAAGGAUACUCAUUUGUGCCAGUCUAUACCAGCAAAGCAGAGGCUGGCAGUUACAUUAAGAUUUUUGGCGACAGGGGAAUCAUUUAAGUCCCUUAUGUUCUCUACAAGUAUUCCACACAACACCAUCUCAAAAUUUUUACCUGAAAUUUGUAGUGCAAUUUAUAGUGCUCUUCAAAAACAAUAUUUAAAGGUAUGUUUAGUAAGAAUAAAACAUAUAAUUAAAUGUAAAUAUAAGUUGGCAUAUCCCUUCUAAUUCCCGCUUAUUUUCUCACCCAACUAGCUGCUGUUGUAUGGACACUUUCACUUGUAUUUCAUCAAAAUUGUUCCUAUACUUUAAAGUGAAUGUGUUAAUUUUUGCUGUGUUUAGAAAUUGGCAAUUUUGUUUUAUUUUGAAUUAAGUGUAUUUACUGUUACAAACCUCAACCUGAGCCUUUAAGCUAACUUCACCUCAGUCACAUUAACUCUUUAAAAUAAUUUUUUAACGAGAUAUUAGACCAGGUAUGCUUGUUUCGUACAGCCUGGGAAGUAUAGGCUUACUGACAAGGAUCUGCUACACAAAUAUUUACAUUCACGAAAAAUGAUAUUACUUUCAAAACUUAAAUAAUAAUAAUUGAACACGUAGGCAGAAUUUUAAUAUUUCUAGGCCUUUCUUGCAAAUCACCAGAGCUACUUGCUUACUCAGAGAUGCUGCUUUAACAUAAGUCAGUACCAUCUAUUGUCAGGAAAUUAUGAGUCUAUAUUCCAGAAAAUUCCAGACAAUACUUACAGAGUAGCAGCUAUUGUGAAAUAAGAACAAUGACUUAUAAGAAAGAUUGAUUGGGUAAGCCAAAAUAAUUUUAGUUACAUUAAGUCUCUGAAUUGAAAUAUUUUAAAAUUUAUUUUAGAUGUUAUUAAUUUGGAUUUGUAGGUAAAAGUUCCGAAAUGCAUAUCCUAGUUUUGAUACCUCAUUCCUGAUGGCACAUUUUGUACGCAAUGCUUGCUGUUUUAAUUUAGUGUAUCAACAAUACCUGAACAUAAGCAAAACUGGUAUAGCAAUCAAAUAAUGAUCGUAAGUUGAAUAGACGAUGUUUUCUGGUUUAAGGACUAUAAUAUUCCAAAACAACAGUAACUUCUUUUAGUCAAAUAUAUUAACCUGCACUUCCGUACAUACAGAUUCAAUUGGAGGAAAAUAUACAAUAACAAUUAUUGCAGUAGGAAAUAAAAUAGUAUUAAUUCAAUUACUGCAUUUAUUUCCCAUUCGCCAUUGCUGAUAUUUAAACUAUUACGCUUCGGAAACGGAAACAAAAGCGGCCGCUUUAUUUUAGAUAACUCUGAUUGGCUGAUCCCAUCCAACAUCCAACAUAUUUUAGAACCAGUCCUAUACGUAAAAUAUUUGAAGGAAACUCUAGACAUUCAAUCUCUCAAAUAAACAUGGCUGCGAUAGUGACGUUUAACGUGACGUCACAACCCUUAAAGAUAUUGGAUCCAACAUAUUGGAAGGUGUUGGAAGCUAAAAUUUGACAGUGUGACAGGACCAUUACUAUGCUAGUAGACAUAUGUAUUCCAUAAUUGGACAUGGAUGUGUAUGUAAAACAAAACAACAUAGCUACUUUAAAGCAUGUGUAUUCAAUAGGUUUUAUUUUUUGAAAUGUUUUAAUAAUAAGUAGAGAUGUACGAACCUGCAAAUUUUUAAGUCGAGUCGAAUUUUACAAUAAUUAUUUCGAGUCGAUUUGAGUCGAGUUUGUAGAUCAUAAAUUCAAGUCGAGUCGAUUCGAGUCUGAAUUUUUAUUUGAAUCUUUGACACUUAAGUCGAGCUUGAAUAUUUGCACUUUAUUGCUAAGAGUCCUUAGAUGUAUGUCUUGUUAUAUCAUGGCCCACUUAAUCAAAUAUAUUUAAAAUACAAGUAUUAAUACAAAUAAUUCAUUUAGGUUAAAUUCUUAACUGAUAUAAUACAAUUCAAUAAUUGCGGUUUAGAGCAUAGAAUAAAAGUAUUUUCGGAAUUUUUAAAUUUUAUUUAACAAAUAUCGCCCAACUGUGAAAAUUAAAAAAUUCGAUAUCUCCUAAAGUAUUUGGAAUUUCUUAUAUCCGCCGGCUUUAAUGAAAAGAGGAAUUUAAAGAGCAUAUAAUAAAAGUAUUUUCAGAUUUAAACAUUUUUUUUUUUCGAAAAUACCGCUCAACUACAUAUUUACCUUAUUUUGAACCGAACGAGUUAUCUGCGGCCUGUAGCAUUCACGAGUCAAUAAAAAACAUUGAAUAUAAUUUAGACUUGUUGGCGCGAAGGUUAGGGUUUCACACAAUCAUUAGAACAUUUUUGAAAACUUUCACUUAUGGGAAGUGUAAGGCCGUGCUACAACUGGCGCAACAUUACAAUAAACGUUCCCAUAACAAAUAUAAUACAUUUAAAGAUUAUUGCUACAACACUAACGCCGUUAUGUUGCCGGCCAAUCGCAAGCUGGCACUUCCAACCAAUACAUGCUUUUGUAUUUGUAUUGAAUAGUUACACUUUAUAAAAUACUUUAUACUUCAUAAUUAAUUUUAACUUGCCACUUAACUUGGAUAGCAAACAAUUAUACAAAACGCAAUCUCGCCGAACGUAAUAUUGUAAACAAACACGGAAAAAAAAUCAUGUUCGCCAACCAAUACUUCCUAAAAUUAGUCGAGCAAAGUUUUUUUAAAUGCCAUUUCGUGAUUGGUGGCGUAUCAGUCGCAAACAUGCGCACAAAUAUAACGCUACCGUUAAUUUAUUAUUGUAACGUUGCGCCGAUUGUAGCACGGAUUUACUAAAAAAAAAGUAAUAUUUCUGCCGAUAUUAUGAUUAUAAAAUUUAAUUCGUGUUUUGUUUAUUAAAAAUGUGUUCGUCUUCUUUGCUAUGUGGUUACACAUGUUAAGUUGGCAAUAUGUAAAACUAAAAUAUAAAUAAUAUGGCCGAUUGUCGUCAUUGUUGGUAAGUACGUGUUUCGGUCGUACGUACGUAAUUUUUAGUGUCGGCCGAAGUCACGUAAGGAGAUAUUAAGAAUUUAUUGUAAUUCAAUUUUAUUAUAUUUUAUCAUAGAGUUUUACCCAAAUUUCCUUUCGAGUUUCGCCCCGUCGAGUAAAAUAAACUCGAAUUCCGAGCCGAGCCGAGCUGAUGCUACUCGCUCGACUCGACUCGAAUUUUCGAGUCUCGGCCCAUCACUAAUAAUAAGUCCUUAUCAUUCUCACCUGUUUACAGAAAACAUAUGGUCUGCUAUAUGCUACAAUAGAAACACAUGUUUACAAACCAGGGAUUAAUAAUUUCCGUAUUAACAUAUUUUUUACUUGUGCCAUCACUUUCCCGCUCUAAUUCCGGAGCAUUUCCAGCAAAUUAAAUUGCAAACAGCGCUGCAUUUAAUAGCAUACCAUCAGGAAAAAGUUUAUUCUGAUCACUCAAAGUUGAAAGUGAAUAUUGCAAAGCUUAUUUAUUAUACGUUAUUGAGUGUGGCCAUGGCAGCUUUGUUUGGCAUUUUAACUAUCUUCAUUUACAGUUUUUUUUGUGCUACUUUAAAUCAUACGACCAUAUACCAAAUCCACAUCUUUGGUGACACAUGCAUGAAAAAUUAUGUUGAAACAAAAUGGUGUCUUUCUGUUUUAUAUCUUUCCUCUUUAAACUUUAAUAUAUUAUUAGGGAUAGUGAUUUAUCAUUUUUGCGAAAUAGAUGCGAAAAUAUGCUAAAUUAUAUUUUUUCCGCUAUAAAAUGCGAAAUCACGGUAAAAAACAUAGAUUCGUCUUCACUCUACACAAUUUUUUUACCGAUUGUAUUUCGUUUCAGUUCAUUAUCAUAAGAAACCAUCAUUUUAUGGCGUAUUCAGCACAAAUAUCUUAUUGUCACGUCAUUCACAAACUAUUGUUUGUAAAUAUUGAAUGAAGAAUGGCCAUCCGUGCCUCGCGAUUGUAAACAAAGCAAAGAACAACUAGCUGGAAGAUUGUCCGUCUUCUUGCAGAGUACAAGUUUUUAGGCCACCAUAUUACGACAUCUCUUUUUUCACCGCGCUGUAAUGCUUCGGGAUCUUUCAAGUCGAGCCUUGGGUUGGUAGAGUUCUUUUUUUAUUCUUAUUCACCACGGAAUACAAACAUAUUAAGCUUCAUCAUCACUCUCAUCCACCAUUGUUAUCCAUAGAGUAAAAAAAACAAAACAAAAAGAAAACACAUCUGGCCAUACCAACCUUCACAAACUAAAUUCUCUACACAAAUAAAAAUACCUUCCAGGUAAAAAUAUAACACAUCAAAAAACCCUUAGCCCGGGAGUGCAAACACUUUACAGCGCUAACAAUUGUAAGUCCCAUUUUCUGGCUGUGUUUCACGUGAAAGCCAUGUUCUUGUGAAGUUUGUGGAAGGUGGUGUGUUUACAAAUACGUGCAUACUCGUGAAUGUGUUGUAUACUGUUAUUUCUCGUGGUAAAAAUGGGACGAAACUUAAUUUCCAUUCGCGAUCGCAUAAAUGAAUACAAAAGUGAACAGUUCUAUGAAAGUGAUACAAAUAUUUUAAUGUGCAAUCGCUGUCUGGAGUGAAAAAAAAAAAGAGGUACUUGAAAAGCACAUUAAAACUGAGGGACAUCAGGCUGCAAAAAAAAAAAGAUUCACCAAGAAAUCGGAUAAAGAAAAAAAGUCGGUAAAACGGCAAGCAACGGUUUCUGGCAUGAUCGAAAACCAAAAGAAGGUGAAAAUUGAAAAAAGAGUUUUAAUAACGUUAUUUGUGCACUCAACAUCAACUAUGGCCAUGAACACUGCUAAAAAAUAUUUAUUGUAAUUUUAAGGGCUCGGUUCACUCCCAUGCUAGCCGAAUGGCGGGAUAGGGAUUUACAGGUUAAACUUAAAUGCACGCGAUUCCGUCAGUUAUUGUAAUAGAAAACUAAAACAAGCACCAAAUUGUAGAUAUUAUAAGCAUACAGGUUUCUACGAGAACAAUUUUAAUUUAAUUUAAGUUUUUAAGUUUGAUAUUGUAAAAUUAAGUUUUAAUUUUGUCACAAUUAUCAGUCAGUUUGUUCUACCCCCUUAAUCAUCUCGUAACAACGUUGGUCAUAUCUAAAUCUCACGAAAAGUUCUUGGCUUUGGCAAUGUAUCUGGUUAAAUAUACAAGCAACACUAAAUUUUUUAAAUUAAUAUUUUGGAAUUGCCUGAUGUAUAGGCUGCAAUGCACGCUGGUAAUAUGACGUGCUCCGCCGGCGGCGGACAAGAGAUAAGGCCGCGUGGAAUGAGAGAAUAACGGCGUAGUUGCCACUUCAUCUAUCUCCCCCUCAUCCACCCCUUACCUUUAGCUGUCACGCGACAGUAAACCCGCACUUCAAGUGAUUUUGUUCCUCGGUUCAAUUCUCCAGUUGCUACGCUACAGCCAUGGGAAGAAAUUGGCGUAAGUGUUACAAGAUCUCGCGACCUUUAUCUCACAGUAGAAAGUCCAUGAAAAAUCGAAUGAAGCUUCUUCUAGCAUCUAAACGUCAAAGUAAAUGGUAUAUAUUUAUAUGAUGCAACAAUUAUUUUAAGAAAAUUUAUUUGUAACCUUUUUACAGCUGGUAAAGUAAGAUGAGGCGAUGUUGUAAUCAGCAUAACAAAAGCGUAACGCUUACAGGGUAACUAACUAUCAGCAGUGUCGUAUUCGAAGGAGGAUAGGGGAACGGGGUUCAGGAGUGAGGUGCUCAAUGAAAUUUUUGCAUUAUAGCACACUCGCUUAAUUGAAUACUUGCGCAUUUGUCUACUUGCUCACUUGCAUACUUGCACACAAUCCACACAUUCGUAGACAUUAUUAUUCCCCUAUCACUUACAUAUAUUGAUACAUCACUUCUAACGCGCAUAGCGGCCACUCGUCCAUAUGAUUUUUAUGGGUUUUAUGGCUAGAGUAUGCUUUUGAAAUCAACACAGUCAGUACAGUAUAUAAUUCUGUAGUGAACAACCGGAUUAGGGCUAAAGGUUUCCAGCGGGAAAUGAAUAUAUAUUUCAUUCGUAAAAUGUUUUUAUUGGCCUUAUAGGUUGUGUACGGUACAUGCAGCCUUACAAGAAAAACAAUACACAUUUUAAAGUUUUAUUAUUUUGCCUGCCUAUAAAUUCAGCAAGCCUUUUUAAAAGAUUGCAAGCAAUACAGUUUAAAUGUGCAACAUGAAAUGAACACUCUAUGCGAUAUUCCCCAGUAUUAUUUCAGGUGACCGUAGCUGAAGUCGCUAUGUACCUUUGGAAGGAAUUUGGAUCAGAAUUUCGGGUGUGCCAUGAAUUUAGUUAAAAUUAUAUAAUUUUUUUAUAUAAUUUAUUUGUCCAUCCGCCCCGGACUGGCAGACGUAAAGAGCGAGCGUUGAAAAGCAACAAUUUCACAAGAAACUAUCUAAGCUUAAUUACUGCAUAAAAAUGCGAUGAAACUAUUUAAACUAUCAAAAAACCUACGGACGUCUAAAUCUGGAUCAGAGAUUUUGAAAUAAAUUUUAGGCAUUAGUAAUAAAGAUUCCCCCUGGCCUUCGCGGCCAUUGUCUUGCAUUUAUUGGCCAAUAAAUUUAGGCAUUAGUGUUCCUAAGAUUAGGUAGUUGAUACGCCGAGCCGUAACAAACCCGCCGGCACACGGGAACCUGUAAAAUAAAAUAAGAUAUCAAAGUUUUUAAAACUAGUCAGUGCUGAAAUUAAUGGAGUUGAAAUAUUGGAUGUUUUAAAAUGAAUAUUACUAAGUAGGAUAUUAAUACAUUGUUAUCAGUUAAACAAUUUCUUACUUACAAGAGAAUGUUAUACUAUCAUCAUGCCAAUGACUACAAUAUUAUAAUACGCACAAUGUUAUUAUGUUACUCUUUUUAUAACAUGGUUGUAUUUGAUUUGAACAACAGGAAAAAAUAAUUUUUCCUUACAAACUAUAUUUACGAAAUUGUAGUAAUUCGACAGGCCCUUGAAAAUAAUUUUGAUAUGGUAGCCAUUGAUUAGGCCUAUGUUAAACAAAGUUAAUUGUAAGUUAAUUCAGAUGGUUCAUGAGGCUGGAACAUAUAUAUAUCUAUAUAUAUACAGAUAUAUAUAUAAAUUACAUUUAGGUUUAUGUAGUAAAGUGGUCAGUUAGUACCUGCAAUUACGUUUAUUUUCUCCCAUAAUCUUCAGUAUAAUUUGCGCCAAACUUCUUAGCGGGCGAAUUUUCGCGAUGUUGUGCAUUACCACAUCAAAGAACUUCUGACUCAAUGUCCAGUCGUUAUCUUGGUAAUAGUCUGCUUACAGCCGAGCUGUUAGCAAUUUUAGCUACGGUGAACAGUGCUUUUCUGAGGACCAUUGAGUGAGCAACUAGAUGGAUGUGUCGUUGUGACAUUGCUUGGACAGUUAUUGUAGCAGCGAUUUUUUUUACCUCUUAAUUUAUGAAUAUAUAUAUUCAAAAUACUGAACAUUUAAAUGACAUGUAAAGCAAGUUAAAUAGAACAACUCAUUUAAUAUUGUAAAUAGAUAGGUAAACUGAAUAUUUCCAUCUUAUAUUUCAGACUGUUAAAUAAAAUAAUAAAUGUUGUUUAUUACAUCCACAGCGCACGCUGUUCACCAUGUAUUUGAAAAAGAUAAACAUGAACGAACUAUUUAACUGAUAGAAUUAGUUUAUGAACAUUUUAUAAUGUGCCUGAGCAUUUAAAAUCUACAUGUAUUCUAAAUUUUAUUCUUCAGGUCAGAUCAGUGCAAAUAACUAUUUACCCCAAAAAAGAACAUAUAUUCAAGCUGGCGCAUACAAAAUACAACUGCAAUACAUAUUAGAGCUGAAAGAGUUGAGGAAAUUAGCUAAAAAGCUAAAAUAGAAUUAAAUAGAGCUGGAAAAAAGUGUGAAUUAAGAAUUCGUGUGAAGCUAUUUCAUUUUUAUCUGGGAACCACAACUUCUUAAUUAUUUUUUUAUACUCAGGAAAAAAACACUACAAAAUAGUUACUUUUAUUUUUAAGAAGUAGAGAAAUGUUCAUUAUAGCUGUAGGUUCUCACUGUGUUUUUUAAGGUCUUGUGUGUUUCGGCAUAGUAGUGGGAAAACCUCGACAGAAAAGUAAUAAUAUAAAGAUACGCGAGGACUGAUUGCCACAUCAUUAUUAUCGUUACACUAUUCGUCUUGCUAUUUUAAUACAUGAAAUAACUAAACAAUUAUAAAUAUUUAACUAAGGCUAUUUAUAUGUACAUCUCAGUAAGUUUUUUAAAGGAAACCUGCUACGGAAAAUGUUAACAUAAUAGGGCUAGUAUACAUCUUACAUUAUUACGAUGCGGAAAUUAAGAUUUACUUUAAAUGCACUUAAAUGAAUCGUUCUUGUCUCCAGUGAUAAUUACGAUGUGAACAAACUUUUUAUGAAUAAUUUUAGUUUUCAUACAGAAUAUUCUCCAUUGUCAUUCUCAACAUAAGAACAAAAUAUAGCAUGUUAUCCUGAGCAUUCAUUAAUAAUAAAGUCUUUAAGUAAAAUCAGAACUAAUAAUCAUUUUAAAAAAAGUUUGUUUUUUUAAGCCCUAAAAACGUUUAAUAAGAUGAUAGGAUUAUACAAUAUCGAGGUUUUGUAGCGAUACAUUUCAUUAACAUAUGACCAUUUUGCAUCAUUACACGUCUUUGUCUGAAAACAAUAUUUCCGAAUCAAAUGCCAAAUCAUAACUGUGUAGUAAGCAUGCUUUCUUAACAAUAGUCAUGUAUUUAACAUUAAGUUAAAAUAUGUAUUUGUACUAAUUUCUUAUUUUAUUAUUGUUAAGCACAUUUUAUUCUUAUUUUUAUUUUACAGUUCGGCUGUUUGUGAAGAUUUUAAUGAGCAUUUACCAAACCUCAUUGUUGAAAACAGCCAAAUUGAGAGUUCUUCAUGGAUAAAUUUACAAGGAAACAGGAUAUUCAGACCCUCAUAUGUAAUACCAUAUUUAUUAAAACUACAAGGAAAGCACACAAGACAGUGCACUGCAGGAACCAUUCAGUUCAAAAAAUUAAUUCGUCAUGGUCUUUAGAAUAUUUAUUUCCUAUUACUUUUAACUGAUAAUAAUGUAUUCUUUAUGGGACUUACUCAAGUUAAACAUGGAUAUUGAUUAUUUACUACGUAGCUUCACAAAAUUAGUGGGUAACGUUUAUUAAUUGAGUAGCUACCAUAUAGUACGAUUUUGAAAUGAACUCAAAACUAGAGAGUAAAGUAAGGAAGACUGCAGUACUUGUGCAAUUAAUUAAUCACAGUUGUGGCCUUAUUUGUAUCACUGUGGAUUGUGUUCACGAAUUUUCCAGUAUUUCUUAUACUGACCCCACUUCCAGCCUCCUGAUCCCGAAGUAACUACAGCGACACAGGUAGAAGAUUUAUCUUGAUUCUGAAGUGCAGACCGAUUCAGGCCUCUUACAAUUCUUAGAAAACAACUUAAAACUAUUAGCACAAUUAUUAUAUUUUGACGUUACAACGUCUAAUAAAUCGAUGAACGCCGGCUGCACGCACGAAAAAGUGUCCCACUACGGAUGUGUCCUGUUUGCUCAUUGUACGCAUGCGUAGCAUCUCUCUUCAUGCUCAUUGUAGGGCCUACGCAUGCAGGGCAUCUCUCUUCCACUCGAUUGGAACAACCAUCGAUUUGACUUUUCAAUCAUAUUUUCGUAGUUUGAAUUAUUAAUAUUAUGUAAUUUAACGAUCGUCCACCGAUUUUCAGCACAAUCGGUACGGUUAUUUAAAAGUAAUGUUGAAUAUUCAAAUACGUUUUGAACAAAAAAUGGUGUUUUACAGUUACACAUAAUAAUUCAAAUUACACCCGGGAUCUUUUGCACAGUGUUUUAAAAAAUAUUGUAACACAUUAUAAAUAAGUUUGGUGUGUUUGGGAUGCGUAUUUGUUAUAAAAUCGGGUUAUAAAAAUGAAAUAAUAUUAUUCCCCUACCGUGAACAAAAUUUUUAUAAAUAUGUAUAUAACAACUGAAACUAUCGUUAUGAAGUAUGGCCCCGUGACCGUGCGGUCAGCAAGGCUAACUUCCAUUCCGAAGGAAGUCGGUUCGAACUCGGCAGCUGCGAAUUUUUUUUGUACUUGUAAAAAUAAAUACGGCACACGCAACAUUUCAAAAGUAAUAAAUAUAUUUGAAUUAAUGAAUGCAAAUUAAAGUAAAUUUAUUAAUUAAAUUGUACUUUUCAUUUCACUCCUUUGUAUCCAUACAAAAUAGUGAUAAUUCAAUAAAAAUGAUUCAAUUUUAUUCAUAAAUGUAUGCAGAGGUAGAUUUUAUCAUACAAAAGACAGAAAAAUAAAAAAAAAUCUUCCUCAAAGAAUAUAAUAUUUUUAAUGCCUAAAUGGUUUGGUUGCAAAAACCUAUUACAGCUCAGUCUCAGGCCGAAUAUGAUAUUUACUUUUCUUCUGGAUCAAUCAUUUCAUCAAUGUUUUGUUAUGACGUUGUUACGUUAAACUAUCGUCCGUAAACCGACUUUACAGACAACCAAUUUUUCGUUCUGUUUUUUUUUUUAAGGAAGCUGUAACUGGAUUUAUUGUAAUAUGAGACUAAAUCAAAUUCUGUGAUUGAAUUUAGGUUUUGUAAUCAGUGAAAUGUAUGAUGUUUGAAAAAUUGAAAUAUUUAUCACGGUAAAUCUUUAUAUUUACUUACCUAAAUUUGUGUAACAUUACAACACUGACUAGAGUUUAUAUGUUUGGAAUGCCAAUUUUUUACUUAGCAUAAAGCUAAGUGUAAUUAAUACAUCAUAUUUGAUAUAAAUAGUAGACAAAUCGGUUGUGAUACUUCAAAUAAUCACAAACCAAAAUCCCACCAUGGAGAAAUAUAUAUAUAUAUUUUUUUUACGAUCUACAUUGUAACUCUACAAGUUUACCUGGGAAACUAAAUAUUGCUUGAGUUUCAUCGAAUACCUAUAACAAAAUCAUUAUACAUCUUUGGUGUGGUCGUACAUAGACCUUUCAGGGGUUUCCCCCCCUUUUCUUUGUUGACCCGGCGCUCUUAGCCAUAAGGCCCUGCCGCCCCGGGCCCCCACGGGCGUGGAUAUGUUUGCGACAUAUACGCAAUCGGAAAAGCCGCUAGACCUCCGGCUAUGCACAGAGGCUGAGGCAUGUCCACCACCUCGGCCCCCUGCUCGCUCAGCUCACCUCAGCCCCUGGAGCAGCACUGCUGGCGCCUACAUCACACUGGGACCCCUCAAUCACCCAGUGGAGGCCGUCCCGGUGUUGUCGUACAGUAGUGUCUCGCUUAUCCGACAUAAACGGGUCAGCAGAAAGUCGGAUAGUUAAAAUGUCGGAUUAAUAGGAAAUUGCUAAUAAAAACAUUAUAAAAGUAAAAAUUUGCUAAUGUUUUAAACAUUUCAAACCUAAUAAACAUUUUUACAACCAAAAAAUAACAAAAAAUAUCUGGCUGAAUAAUAAGUUGCAGUACCUAGGGUCGGGAUCAACAAAAAUUAUUAUGACAAAUUGUCGUUUAUGUUUCCGAUAGAAUAGUUUUUAUUUUUGAGAUGUCGGAUAAUACGAAAUGUUGGAUAAGAAAAGGUCGGAUGAACGUGACAUUUCGGUUUUUGAUUAUUUGUGCUUAAUUCAGUCAUAUUCAUUUAGUAAGAAAAUUAAAGUAGGUAAUGAAAAUAAAUCAUAACAUUGCGUGGUUAAGUUUAUAUCAAUCAUUUAUUGGAAUUAAAUAAAACCUACAUGUGUAGUUCCGAUGCGAGUGGUAAAGUCUCUGUUUUCAAUGAGUAGAAUUCGUGAUUUUCCGGAGGUUCAAAGUACAGGAGGUGCGUUUGGGCGUUAUUUAUUUAAUACCUAAAUUAUUUCUAAAAAUACUAAAUUGUUUACAUUGUAUUAUGUUAAUAUAAAGCAGUGUUUACGUUUACAGUAGUCAAAUGUCAAGUUUCCUUUCGAAUGACUGUGAAAAACGGGGAGGUUUAUCGCAGCAAUGAAGGAAAUAUUUUUGUGUCCAAUAUAAGUUAUAAGCCGAGGCUCCAGAUUGUAAGGAUAUCAAGGCAAUAGCGGGCUACAUAUAUAUUGGGUGAAAAAUAUUGGGUCAAGUAAAGUAUUGCAUUAAAUGUUCUGAACAUUUAUAACCCGGAACCACGAGAUGAAAAUAAACUGUAGAAAAAAUGCUAAAAUGUCGUUUAUUUAUUAUUAAUUCUGCUUGCGUUUUGUAACAUAUUGUCCCAGCCUAAUCAAAACGCGAGUCAAUAGGCCUCAAAUAUAUAAAAAAAAAAUAUUGGUAAAAAAGUAUUAGCCUGGAUUAGUAUAUAUUGCACUGAAUAAUUUAUGUUUGUCACACAGCAUAUUCUUUUCAAUCCAGUGUUAAAUUAAUACGGUACAAUUUCAAAUUUAUAUAAAUAUAGUAACAUUUGAAACACACAAACGGUACGUAUUUUGCUGAAUGUAUCAAAUAUUUAUUGUAAAACCGAUUGGAAGAUGAUAUCAGGAAACUAAAAAAAAAGUUACGUUAACUUAUCAAAAUAUUGUUUGCCAAAAUCGAAACCAUUGAAAUAAAUAUAUAUAUAUAUAUAUAUAUAUAUAUAUAUAUGUCCUUUAUGGAAAUAACUUUAAACUGAGCAUACACAAAAAAAUAAUUCUGUUUCAAUUAUUAGGAUUUUGCCCUUAGUUCAGUGUUUUUUUUUAUUUGAAUAUAAUUUUGUAGGUAAUAUUCUAUUUAACUUUUCCUUAAUCGUACCAGACUGCCUUUCCCACCAGCCGGCCAAAUGGUCCACGGACUGCUAUUCAAUAUAUCCAUGGUUAAACCAGCAAGCAAAUAGCACAAGCCGCCAAUUUGGGCCCAUUCGGAAGCAGAAGGCACUGCCUAGCUGCCCUCGGAUAGCUAGCAGAGCGACCGCGGAACCGCCUGUCUUCGGUAGCCCAUAGCCCUUGGUGCGAGCGUCACGUGUCAGAUAACGCUUGGCAACACCGCGUUGUAAUUAUCGUGUUUCCCCCGAUUCUACCCGGAUGACAGCGGCGCCCGGGAAGAAUAUAUGUCUGUGAUAACGAGUGUUCAACUGAUCGUGACUACUAGCGCUCUCCAGCGGGACAGAAUCACAACCGUGACCUUGAACCGAGCCCUUAAGUAUUCAAUUUAUUGUACUCAUAAGUGCUAAAAAGUUCUUUGGAAACCUGCCAAGAUAGGCUAUCUUUGUAGUUGUGGUAGAUCUUUAUUUCUGUGGUUGUUAAUAAUUAAUAUGUGUAUUAUUUAAUGCUUUUUAAAAAUAUACUUUUCUUCGGUAAUGUAAAAUGAGAUAAUUGGCUAAAUCUUGUUUUUAAAAAUGCUACAAAAUGCUAAAUGUUAUUAUUUUAAAUGCUAUAAAUCACCAUCUCUAUAUAUUAUGCAUGUAAGUAGAUGUAAAUGCGGUUGUUACGUAAAUAAGCUAUGGAUUACUGGGCACUUAUUAAAAUUAGUUUAUUUACCAAUGUAACAAAUUCUGUAAAUAUUGUCUUAUUGUACAUUCAGUGACAAUCGUUUUACUACAAUAGAAAUGUUUUGUAAUUACAGUUUGCAGAAUUGAACUUUCAAGCAUUGCAAUGGACAUGCUUGUAACUUUUUCUGUUCCCGAGCGUAAACAAUUGAUUAAAAGUUUACUUAUUUGUUUAAUUAAUUUGUUUACGACAAAAAUCUGAAAUCAAUUAAAUUUUAACUUUCGAAUAUGCAUAAAAUCCAAAAAAAUAAUGGUUUAAGAAAAUUUCACCACAAUAAUGUGGACAUUUUGAGAUGCUUUAAUAUGCACAUUUCUUGUCCAAGAACUAGAGUUCAUGUUCAUUUUUAAACAUAAUCGUGGAAAACCGUAAGACUGGGUGUAUUUAUUGUUUUCACCUUGUGAAGUAAUGUAGUUCUCAUUAUUGUAAAACAAAAUAAUAUACAGUAGAACCCCGAUUAUCCGCGACUCGAUCAUCCGAUUCGCGGAUUAAACGCGAUUUAUGUCCAUCAAGUCCAAUUUUUUAGUUACAUAUAACCAAUGAUUCAAAAUGUAUGUAAAUGUUAAAAUACUUUGCAAAAUGUAUGUUGGUCAAAGUACUUUGACUCAGUUAUGUUUAUAUACACAGAAAGUUUAAAAAAAAAAAUACUAGUACAUACAUACAUAUGUACAUAAUAUUUUUGUGUUCCAUGUUACGUGAAUAGAUUAUACACUGGUGCGCGAUUCCACGUCCGCAUGACCGGACUGUACACUCCCGCGCGCAGCACGGCGCCGUGCCACAGAGAUUACCCGGCGCAUGGAGACAGUCCAUUCCAUUAGUGUACGUUGUUGAAGCGUCAAGGUGGUGAUAAUUUUAUGUAUUGCAACAGUGAUCUGCAUUCCGACGGAUUAUACCGUUGUGUUGUGCGGAAGUGUUGAGCGCAACAUUUCAUCAUGUCAUCAAAUGAACAGAAAAGAAAGCGAGUGGUACUGUCCAUCGACAGCAAAACAAAAAUUAUAGAAAGAUUUCAGAGUGGAGAAACGAUUGCAAACUUGCGACUGAGUUUAAUGUCGGUAACACAACAGUGCGCGACAUCAUAAAAAAUCGCGAAAAAAUUCUUCAGUUUGCUUCACAGGCUGACACUUCAAGUGGAUUAAAUAAACGCAAGACGAUGAACGAAUCCACAUUUAGCAGCUUGGACACUUGUUUGUUUGAAUGGUUUCAACAGAAAAGGUCGGAGGGUGUAGCAUUAAGUGGCGUAAUUUUAUCACAGCAGACGUAAUUUUUUUUAAAAAAACUAGGCUUGACAGAAGAACCAUUUUCCUGUUAUAUUACUUCUCCGUUAUUGUAUGAGCACCGACUGUACGGAAGUGUGUGUGUUGCAACUAGUGCUUGGCACUAGGGAUGGUCGGGUAUCCGAAAUUUCGGGCAGUGUUUCGGGUAUCAAGUAUACCCGAAAUUCCGGGCGGGUAUUUCAGUGCCCGAAAAUAUCGGGCACCUUGGAAAACGGCAAUACCGCACGGCGCAAGUAAACAAAGCUUCUUUUUUUUUGGAACGCGCGGCAGCUGCAGGAACAUGCCACGCCGCCGCCGUCCCGGCACCUGCCGGUGAAGUGAGUGUGUGUGAGAGAUAAGAUAAAGAAGGUGCCCGGUCAGCAAGUGUGUUUGUGGGAGGGGGAGACAGAUAUAAGAGAGCUAGCCCUGCAGCAAGCGGAAGUGGUCAAGGUCAACAUUUACCGUUACUCUCGCUGGCUGACUAACGAUGCAGCUGGUCGCCCGCCUCUCUCUCUCUCUCACACACACACACACACACACACACACACACACACGCGCGCGCGCUUACGUACGGCGGAUGCUCACUGCUCAAUAGUCACAAAGUAGUGUUCAAGGCCGGUGGAUCUGCUUGCUGUGUGCGAGAAGGAUUAUAAGCUGACUUUAAUUACACACAUUGUAGUUGCGUGGCAUUUACAGAAAGUGGUUGUGAAUUGUUUCUAUUUAAUUCAUGUCAUUAUUUUACCAAAAUGGAUACCAGUGGAAGUGUAGGUCAAACAAUCAACAGUGACAAUGAACCUUCAAGCAGCUACCCAAACACAAUUUAGUUAAUAAGCACUUUAUUUCCAAGAUUAAUAUGCACUCUAUUUUUUAGUUUAAUGUUUAACUUUCAUAUCAGUGCGGUAUAGUAAAUAAAUAAAAACAGUUCAGGUUUGUCAAUGCAAACUUAAGUACGACUAUUUUAUGUUCAAAAUUUAUUUCAUUAACUGAUUUUGAUGCCCGACCGAGAUUGCCCGAGCCCGAAAAUUUUGGACAAUUACCCGCCCGAGCCCGCCCGAAGUCAAAUUUCUCUGCCCGACCAUGCCUACUUGGCACGCAAGAUAAAUUCAGAUUAUCACUUGCUGACGCGGCACAGUGAUACGACGGUGUUUGUUUAUUUCAAAACUCAGCUAGUUCCUGAGAUUAGGGUCGUUAUAGAGAGGUGGUCGUUAUAAGAUUUCCGACCCAUCUGCAACACUAAGUCAUAAUAGGCCGUUUUUGCACUAAUUCCACGUUCAGCAAACUAAAAUAAAAAAUCUAACAUUUUAAAUUCACAUAAAUAAAGGGGGAUAAAAACACCGUGAAUUAUACGAGACAGAGACACCGUUUCAAAACCAUCAAAUCAAGUCUCAAUGCACUGGUAUGAAAAAUCUUAUCUCGAAAAGAAUUUUGAAGGCAGUCGUUCUGUAAAACAAUAACCAGCCCGAUGGUGUUACUGACAACAGAGCAAUGAGCGAAGUGUGGCAGCGUCGCUUACGGGCGAUGAAAAGAAUGCGUGACCUUGGCAGCUAUCAGCUGUCUUGGGCCCUCGGACUGGCGGGCGGCUAGUCACACACCUUGGUGCAACAACGACUCGCGUGCCCACGUCUCCGCACACGAAAGACUUAAAAACCACUGCUGCCCAGCACUAAGCAGUCCGCUUCUAUGUCAACAACGCACACGCACACAAAGCAUGUGUAUAUAUGUAAUCUCCGAAUGUCCACAGAUGGCUGUCUGUGGGCUAAUGACCUUUGAGGCAAGCAUAACUCGGUUAACCGCGAUUUUCGAUUAUCCGACUCACUCGUCCCCUUCAUUAACACGGAUAAUCGGGGUUCUACUGUAUAAGCAUAUCUUACAUUAUGUGGGUGUAUAUGCUUCUUAUUGUUUCAUCAUAGUGAGAUAAAAAAAAAUAUGUUUUCCUGCUUUUUAUAUAUGUUUGUCCUGGCCCCUUGUAAUAUGUAAAAAAAAUUGUUUCUUUCUACUUACUAUAUGUAAACUACAGUAGAAUCCCUCCCGAACGACCCCCCUCUGGAACGACUAUUCCGUAAGAACGACCAGUUUUCGAGGAAGCGUGAAAAAAUUCGGAAAAAAAAAGAGUAAAAUUGGAUGAAAAACAAGUGUGCUACACACUAUGUACGGCGCUGCGCGUCACGUUUUUCUUGGUGAGCGCUGUACUGUUGGCAGGCGCACGCAUGGCUAAAAAUAGAUACCACCCCUCCAGAGUCCAGACUGGCCACCCUAGCGAUAACGGUAAACAGUGGUGCGCAUGCGCAUUUCUGUUGCCGUCUCGAUCCCGUGUCUUUGGCUUGUGGCUUGUUAGUGUGAUUUUGCUCGCUGGUGGAUACGCUUCUUUUGCUUGUUGAUUCGGAUAUUUCUUGGUUUUUAUUAUUGUUGACGACUUAUUACGCUUUGUUUCUUGGACGCCGAUUUGUGAAGAAGAAGAAAAGUGUCUCUUGAAAGAAAAGUACUUGUUAUGAACUGAUAGGCGUGUGUUAAAUCCCUGGAUAUGGUGCAGGCCAGCACGCGAUUAGGGGAAAUAAAACAUUGGCGGCGCAAGAGUUCAGACCUGCAGAAACCCGAGCAGUAAUGAAAGCUCACUAACCUCGUACAAAGACAGUGAAGAAAGACUAAAGUUAAUUUUGCGUGUGUUUACGUACAAACACUAUUGCUGGACGAACAAACGUGAUAUAUAGCUGUUCACUAGUUGUACAUUUCAAAUUGCUGUGUUUGUAUAUUUUGAGCCUAUAAGUUAUGAAACUGAGAUUUUUACUUUUGUGAUCAUGUUAAAUGUGCAGCAGCAUUCUGUGUUUAUAAAGUGCCCUAUCAAACAUGUAGAAAAUAUUAACUGCUCCUUCAGUUAUUGCAAGCAAAAUGCAUGCCAGAGAGUAGAAGUCCAGUAACAUGAUAGGAGUUUGUUACUGAUACUGAUUAUAUCAAUAAAAUCCAAAAGAAUUUGCAAAAAAAUAAGUUGUUCAUGAAAGUUAGUUUCAAUAUCAGGAAAUAUAAAUGUUUGUCCCAUCAGACUGAUUAUUUUUUUUGGAUGACAUUUCUCGUGGCUUGGUAAACCUCGUGACUGAAAUGCAUUUAUAUUUGGACUUCUACUUUUGGUGCAUAUCAUUAUACAUACUGUGUGUGUGUGUAUAUAUAUAUAUAUAUAUAUAUAUGCAAUUUUGUGUAUAACGUGACACAUGCAAACAAUUUCUGAUGCCAUAAGGAAAAUACCCACCUGAAUUAAUAUAACAUGUUUUAUUUUCCUGGGUACAUUUUAUCAAUUUUCUUUUCCUUUUUUAAGAAAUACAACUAAUUGUAUUGAUUUUUAGUUCUUGUUUACUUUUGUUGGUUGUGCGACAUAAAUUACUGGGGAGUAAUUUUAUUAUAAAAGUCAGUAUUAUUCAAUAAAAUUUUGAUACAUUUUAUUACAUUUGUUAGCAAGCAACACUUUUAGAUAAGAUAUUGUGUGUGUUUUACUAUGAAACAGAACUGUAUCAAGUGUUUUAUUUGAAUAGAAAUGGUGCCACUUUAAAUUUCUGAAUGCUAUUAAAAUAUUUUUAAUUUGUGUGCAAUUACUUAAGCUUACAUUCAUAUGAAUUUAAGUGCCAGCAUUUUUCAGUUCGUGUUUUUCAUUGAUACUAUCAUCUUUGUAAAAAAGAAGUCUAUAAAAUUCUUCUUAUAUUUUUGUUGGAAUUUCUUUUAAAAAUUUGAAAUGUCUUUUUUAAAUGAAUAAAAAUUCAAGAUAAAUUGUGUAAAAUAAAGUAAUUAUUAAAAACCUGUAUGAAUUGUUUGCUAUUUAUUAUUACAUUUUUGUAACUUGUUUUUAUAACUCAUAGAUCAUAUUCUGCACACUGUGUAACUGCUUAUUCUGCAAUUAACCCAAUAAUGAGAGGAAAUUUUCUACUACCAAUAAAUUAGCUCUAUUCUGUUUCUUGCUCAUAUAUUCCAAUUAAUUUUUUUAUUUAGUAAAGUAUGUUAGAUUUUUUUCAUUCUAGAGAUGUAAGGAAGGUAAGUAAUACAACAGUGCAAUAAUUAAAAAAAUUUGAAAAGGAAUGUUUUUAAUUUUUGUUGUAAUAUCUGUUCUGGUGGACAUACGCCCAAAACUGUGUAUAGUCUGUCAUUGGUAUAGUGUUGGUCUUUUGCUAUUGGCAAAUUUAAUGCAUCCUAGAGUGAUUAUUUAUAUGCAUAUGAACAUAAGCACAUUCUAAUGAGGUGCACUGAUUCAGGAGAGUGAUUUCUGGCAUUACCAGCUGUGAUGUGCAACAUUGCAGCUAUCUCUCUUUUGCCUCUAUAUUGCUAACUUAAUUAUUUCAUACAACCACCUGCUGCAUUCUGUGAUUGUCAGUAGUGAAACAUUGAUUGAAUUACAAAGAAAAAUUAUAAAGAAAAA